GCACACUUGUUGCAUGGCUUAUCCUAAACCUAAAUGUAACUUUACACACACAUCCGCCAGGGUACUACGAGCACAGCUUAAAACCCAAAGGACUUGGCGGUGUCUCAGACCCACCUAGAGGAGCCUGUUCUAGAACCGAUAAUCCCCGUUAAACCUCACCACUUCUUGUUUUACCCGCCUAUAUACCGCCGUCGUCAGCUUACCCUGUGAUGGCCCAGCAGUAAGCAAAAUUGGCCAACCCAAAAACGUCAGGUCGAGGUGUAGCGUACGAGGUGGGAAGAAAUGGGCUACAUUUUCUACAUCAGAAUAUUACGAACAGCAUAUUGAAAAUAUAUGCUCGAAGGUGGAUUUAGUAGUAAAAAGAAAACAGAGUAUCCUUUUGAAUUAGGCUCUGAGACGCGCACACACCGCCCGUCACCCUCUGCAGUCAACA
rnacentral:rRNA from 1 species